AGGUCCGUGAGUCACUGGCAGGAAAGCUGUCAUUAAAGAACCUCAGUUCCAGUCCUACCAGGAGCACUAAUGCUGGAACAUCAUCUACAGGUGGACUGGGUAUCUUACGAUGGCUGCGUAGGAGAAAUGUAUACAACUUGUCUGAUCCCAGCCCAGCUACCUCUGCUAACAGCUCUACAUAACAUCUAUUAACUAAAACCAGGUGCCUUAUUUAAAUAUAUUUUGUCUGUUACAUGUAAACGACACUUUCUUUUACUGUUUUGGAAAUUAAAUUUGUGUUCUGUAAUCAAUGUCCUUAGAUUAUGUUAAACUGUCAAAUUAAGUGUGCAAUUUGUAAACAUUAUGUGGCGGUUUCCCGUAUAAGGAUUAGACUAGUCCUAGACUAAAAUAAAUUUAAGAGCUGUUUAAACUGAAAACAACUUGCACUGAAAUAUCUAGAAAAAAAAUGCAUUACCUCUGCCAGUAAUUCCUUUAGGAAGACAUGUUUGUUAAAACUAGUUAUAUUUCACAGCACAGCCUCUCGUAACUUAUUGCUUACUUAAUAAACAAAGAGUUUUAUUCAAAACCUUUGUGAACUU